GAGGUGUGCAAUAUUUGUAUCUGAAUUAAGGCCGCAGAUUCAUAUUGCAACAUAAGUGGAUUUAUACAAUUCUUAAUUCUCAGUUAGUCUUAUUAUAAUUACUGGGUAUUGUUCUUAGUUAUGAUUCGUGAGUAGAUAAUAGAGUAUUAAUGCACUCAUUUGGCAUGUUAAUUCAGGUCUAUCACUGCCAAGAACUUCCUGACAGCAAUUAGACGGUAUCUAGGGGAGCAUCAAAAAGAGUCGCCAUUGUUGAGUGGCAUGGUUACCUGCCUAAGAGAUGAGACGCUGAAAGAAGUUAUUGUGAAACUUGAUUCGAUGAAGAUCCACCGGAUAUAUGUAGUGGAUGAGACUGGUGAUCUAGAGGGGGUGAUAACCCUAAGAGACAUAAUCUCGAAGCUAGUACACGAGCCCCGUGGAUAUUUUGGUGACUUUUUCGAUGGUGUUCUGCCCCUGCCUGCCAACAGUAGGGUAUAGAGUAUUAAUGCACUCAUUUGGCAUGUUAAUUCAGGUCUAUCACUGCCAAGAACUUCCUGACAGCAAUUAGACGGUAUCUAGGGGAGCAUCAAAAAGAGUCGCCAUUGUUGAGUGGCAUGGUUACCUGCCUAAGAGAUGAGACGCUGAAAGAAGUUAUUGUGAAACUUGAUUCGAUGAAGAUCCACCGGAUAUAUGUAGUGGAUGAGACUGGUGAUCUAGAGGGGGUGAUAACCCUAAGAGACAUAAUCUCGAAGCUAGUACACGAGCCCCGUGGAUAUUUUGGUGACUUUUUCGAUGGUGUUCUGCCCCUGCCUGCCAACAGUAGGGUCUAACUUGAGCUGGUUUGUUUUUCUAAAGGAGUUUUGUAUUAACAAGAUUGUUAUUGUAGUCAUUAAUUUGGCUACUUUCUGGUCAUCUCUGUGUUUCUAGUACACCUCUAUCCAGCAUUCUCUUGGCUGUCAAUUAAUGGAUAGAGUUCUUGACUGAAUUUUCUGUCCUGAGAUUUGAGUUUGUUUAAUGGAAAAUGUUGAUAUUUAUUCAGAACUGGUCGCGUCUACCUGAUUGCACAUUGACUGUGGGGGUUAUAGACCAG
rnacentral:lncRNA from 1 species